UCGGGACCUAAGGCGAGGCCGACAGGCGUAGUCGAUGGACAACGGGUUGAUAUUCCCGUACCCGUGUGUGAGCGCCCAAUGACGAAUCAUCGGUACUAACCGCCCAAAUGGUGGUCUACCAAACCCUUCGGGGGGCGGGGAUCACCGGCUGCGCGGGACCUUCGGUGUUAGUAGUCAAGCGAUGGGGUGACGCAGGAAGGUAGCCGUACCAGUCAGUGGUAAUACUGGGGCAAGCCCGUAGGGAGUCAGAUAGGCAAAUCCGUCUGACACAGAUCCUGAGAGGUGAUGCAUAGCCGAUUGAGGCGAAUUCGGUGAUCCUCAGCUGCCGAGAAAAGCCUCUAGCGAGCACACACACGGCCCGUACCCCAAACCGACACAGGUGGUCAGGUAGAGAAUACCAAGGCGUACGAGUGAACUAUGGUUAAGGAACUCGGCAAAAUACCUCCGUAACUUCGGGAGAAGGAGGACCCCUUACCGUCAUGGCCCUCGCGGCCGGCAGCGGUGGGGGGUGGCACAAACCAGUGAGAAGCGACUGUUUACUAAAAACACAGGUCCGUGCGAAGUCGCAAGACGAUGUAUACGGACUGACGCCUGCCCGGUGCUGGAAGGUUAAGAGGACCCGUUAACCGCAAGGUGAAGCGGAGAAUUUAAGCCCCAGUAAACGGCGGUGGUAACUAUAACCAUCCUAAGGUAGCGAAAUUCCUUGUCGGGUAAGUUCCGACCUGCACGAAUGGCGUAACGACUUCUCAACUGUCUCAACCAUAGACUCGGCGAAAUUGCACUACGAGUAAAGAUGCUCGUUACGCGCGGCAGGACGAAAAGACCCCGGGACCUUCACUAUAGCUUGGUAUUGGCGUUCGAUACGGUUUGUGUAGGAUAGGUGGGAGACUAUGAAGCAGUGACGCCAGUCAUUGUGGAGUCGUUGUUGAAAUACCACUCUGAUCGUAUUGGACUUCUAACCUCGAACCGUAUAUCCGGUUCAGGGACAGUGCCUGGUGGGUAGUUUAACUGGGGCGGUUGCCUCCUAAAAAGUAACGGAGGCGCCCAAAGGUUCCCUCAACCUGGACGGCAAUCAGGUGUUGAGUGCAAGUGCACAAGGGAGCUUGACUGCGAGACCUACACGUCAAGCAGGGACGAAAGUCGGGACUAGUGAUCCGGCACCUCUGAGUGGAAGGGGUGUCGCUCAACGGAUAAAAGGUACCCCGGGGAUAACAGGCUGAUCUUCCCCAAGAGUCCAUAUCGACGGGAUGGUUUGGCACCUCGAUGUCGGCUCGUCGCAUCCUGGGGCUGGAGCAGGUCCCAAGGGUUGGGCUGUUCGCCCAUUAAAGCGGCACGCGAGCUGGGUUUAGAACGUCGUGAGACAGUUCGGUCUCUAUCCGCCGCGCGCGUCAGAAGCUUGAGGAAAGCUGUCCCUAGUACGAGAGGACCGGGACGGACGAACCUCUGGUCCACCAGUUGUCACACCAGUGGCACGGCUGGAUAGCCACGUUCGGACAGGAUAACCGCUGAAAGCAUCUAAGCGGGAAACCUUCUCCAAGACCAGGCUUCUCACC
rnacentral:rRNA from 1 species